rnacentral:rRNA from 1 species
AGAGUUUGAUCCUGGCUCAGAUUGAACGCUGGCGGCAUGCCUAACACAUGCAAGUCGAACGGAAACAGGACGCUGGGAUCUCUUCGGAGUGAACUUGUCGCUGUCGAGUGGCGGACGGGUGAGUAAUGCAUAGGAAAUUGCCUUGAAGUGGGGGAUAGCCCGGAGAAAUCCGGAUUAAUACCGCAUGCGCUCUACGGAGCAAAGCAGGCCUCUGAUUUAAGCUUGCGCUUUGAGAUAUGCCUAUGUCGGAUUAGCUAGUUGGUAGGGUAAAAGCCUACCAAGGCGACGAUCCGUAGCUGGUUUGAGAGGAUGAUCAGCCACACUGGGACUGAGGUACGGCCCAGACUCCUACGGGAGGCAGCAGUGGGGAAUAUUGGACAAUGGGCGCAAGCCUGACGCAGCGACGCCGCGUGGGGGAUGAAGGUUUUCGGAUUGUAAACCCCUUUUGUGAGGAAAGAUAAAGUGGGUAACCACUUAGACGGUACCUCAAGAAAAAGCCACGCUAACUU